rnacentral:lncRNA from 1 species
ACAUUACUUAUCUAAAAAAUAAUGUAAAAUAUUACAAAUUAAUAUCAUUACGGUCUAACUUUACAAGAGAAAUCGAAUAUGUAUUGAAAUACAAUCUUAUAAGUCAAGUUUCAGACUUACACAAUAUAUUAACUAAAUUUCAAAAUACAAAUACAAUCACUACAAAACAUUGACAUCAUAUACAUGCUAUGAGUUCAAAGCUCAAGCCUUCUAGUUUACUAUAAUACAUAAAAAUAUAGGGUAAAAUAAUAAUCUCAGUGAAUUCUAUAAAAAGGAAAAAUUGUUAGAAAAUAUAUUUUUCUAAACAUCAACAAUAGAAAAAUACACAUUUCUUUUUCAAUAAAAUUUUUAAGGUAAAAUUACAUUUGAAAAUCUUUUAUUCUUUUCAGUCAAUUUUUAUAUAACAUAUGGACAGUAUAUUCCAAUUAUCUCAACGUGAGUCACCAAGAUAAUUGUGAUCAUUUUGUAAGAUAGGUCUAGACUAUGACCGCAACAUUCAUCUUAGUUGCUCUUCCUUUACAGAUGUUUUAUUAAUGAAAUAUCAUCAUAUCUUCUCGUAUCAUUUUCAGUCACUCAUUUUAAAACAUAUAAUUGAAAAAUGAAAUUUUAACAUGAAAAAAAUAUAGUAUCAUUUUAAGUUAAAUCAAUGCAAAUUAAAACACAUCAAGCUUAUUAAUCAAGCAACCAUUUGCAAUACAAUUAAAUUCAACAUUAAAAAACUACUAUAAACUAAACACACAUUAAAACUACACAAAAAUUUCAAAAUCAAUCAAAUUCGCUUAACAAAUUUAACAUUCACUCAGCAAAUCUAAAAUAGGGGCUAAUUUUUUCAAAAAUCUGUUAAAUUUACUUAGUCAAUUCAAGCAUGAAGCAACCAUGUUAGUCAAAAGCUUGCUUAGCAAAAUAAUUUUCGCUUAGUGAACUUCUACUAAUUUAUAAUCAAACAUAACCAUACAUAUCCAAUUGUUCAAAAUAAAGAUGAAUUCUUGAAGAAAUAGAUGCAAGUGUCAAAUCAUCUACAUGCAAAACCUCACAUUCCUCUCAUUCUCAUUUUCAAAAAAACCCAUUUUGUCAAAACUCUCGAAAACAUAGUUUUCACCAAAUAAGAAGUUGAAUUCACCCCUAUUAACUCACAUGCAACAUGAAAGAUUGGUAGAGAUUUCUACUUAAGCUAAGCAUGGUGAAGAGUUUUCUUGACUUCUAACCCUAACUCCUUCCAUUGAUUAGAAGACUUGUCAAUCUACACUUUCAUGUGACCUUUCCUUUAUGAUUGAGAGGUGGAAAAAGUGGAGAGGAUGAAGAAAAGAGAAGGAUUAAGGGUUAAUUUAACUUGCAUAUGAUAUAUUGAGGUUGGGAAAGAGAAGAGAAUUUUGGGGGAUGGUGAAAUUGAGGCUUGGAAAGAAGGAGGAGAAGAGUAGCAUUUAUGUUGUGUUUGGGAGCUAGAGAAUGCGGCUUGCUUAUCAUGAAUAUUACUACUUCUCACUUCACAAUAUUAAUAUGUAAUAUUAAAAAUGAAAGGAAUAGUAUUAACU